rnacentral:tRNA from 1 species
AACUAAAAAGCGAAAUAUUGCAGUUAGUUUCGACCUAACCUUUGGUGAUAAACACCUUUAGUUG